rnacentral:misc_RNA from 1 species
AGAGAGAGAGAGAGGGGGAGAGAAUCAGAGAGUGGAUGAUGUACCUGGGGAGCAGGCUGGGUGUGAUCCACCUGCUGAGUGACUUGUAUGUUAUUUUCUUUGAAAUGAAUGGAAAUCCCUUUUGUUCAAUUUUUUGAUGAGAUCGAAAAGCGUCCAAAUUGUAUGAGUACUUAAUUGUUUGAACGUAUUGGACAUUAAACUUGAAAGCAACCAUUAACCCAAGUAUAAGAGAUCGGAAAAACAUUACACGUAAGCAUGAGAUCGGAUUAAGCCAUGACCCAAACACUGAGUAAAACUUUAGAACAUUAGAAUUGGAA